AUAUAUCAAAUUUGUGGACCAUAUUAAAUUUUAUUUUUACUGAAAGGAACUUUUUGUCUCUUUUAUCAGGAGGAGAGUUAAGAUGUGAACUGGAAUUCCAGCAGGCUGUCUACUAUGAAGCCCUGCGGCUUAAGAAAAGGGGCAGUAGUGGUCAGAAAUGACACUCAAAAGCAAACAGCAUGGAAUUCCAGUUCCUGUGAAAGAGAGAAGAUGCUUGUGCUACACACAGCCACCUAAGAAACUGCCAGGACCUUCCUUCGUGGGACAGGGACAGCACGGCCACCGCCCCAGCUGCCAGGACCUGCCUUCCCUCUGCUGCGGGAGAGCAACGGGACGUCGAUCCUUUUGAAAUACCCCCGCUAAUUCUCGCAGAUUUUGUUCCUGUGAGCGCCCAGUUUCUCCUCCCUUGAAGCCUACACAUUUUAUUAGGUAUUGUAAGUGGCUGCACCUGCAGUUUUAAAUGACUAACACAAAUGUUAUAAUGGUGGCGAUCAGUCAAAGAAAAAGUUCAAAGUUCAAAGGUCGGUCUUUUGUAACUGGCGAGGAAGAGCUAGAGGAUAAUAGCUUGUUAAUGUUAUUUACCUCAUUCAGCUGAAAAACUUUCUGUUGUGUAAAGACAGUUACGUGGGCAAUUCUGGGCAUUGUCAUUUGAAUAGGGGUUAAAUUAUUCUGUUUUGUCAUUAAGCGAUCCUUGAUUGGCAAUCCAUUACACAAUGGGUGAUCAUUAAGGAAAGGCCAUAAAACUGUUACACCAUUUAAGAGUGAAUGGUGAAUGAAGCCAGAUAUCGCCAAGAGCCAUCGUUCCCCCCACCCCCAGACUACAGCUGCUGGAGAAGCAAUUUAAAGCAGAAAGGACUUGGAACAAUUGGAACAGUCAUUUAUUCCCUAAUUUUGUUUUGAAAACAUUUACACUGAAGUGAACAGUAGAUAGACUUGCUUAUAGUCACCUAAAGUGUGUUUAGUACUGUCAGGUCCCCUGAUUUUAUUGUAUCAGGGUAAGCAUGAGCAGGGUUGCUCUAUUUAAAGCAGUCUGGGUACUGAGACUGCAUCAGAGCAUUAGUCUUGCAAAUAAAAACAAACUGUGGUGUAUUAAUUUCGGAGAAAUUAUGAAAAUGAGGCUGAAACCCAAAUCAAAGAGAUCAAGAACUGGUUGACAGCGAAGGAAGUGCAACUUGCUUGGUGAAAUUGCCCCCAAGUCCAGAUGGUAAUGGUGUUCCAGGCCUGAGUCAUGGCUCUUGUGGGCCCUGGGCUGAUGGCUGCUAAUCAGAUCCAGAUGUUUUCAACCCUAAGUUUUCUGUCAAGGGACAUGACAGGCUUUUCAGCCAACUGUAAAUCACUUCAAUUGCUGUAAUGUUAAAGGUAGGCCAGGGCCAAGAUUGUUCAGUACGUACUCAUUAGGCACUGGUUCUGCUGUGGCUGGACCUGUGUGAGUAGAGCUCCUGUGCUGCUCUCUCCCCAGUCUGGUCCUGCCCAGCUCCUGCCCAGCCUGCCCUGAUCUAUUUUAUC
rnacentral:lncRNA from 12 species